rnacentral:rRNA from 1 species
UACGGGGGGGAGCAAGCGUUGUUCGGAUUUACUGGGCGUAAAGGGCGCGUAGGCGGUCGUGACAAGUCACUUGUGAAAUCUCCGGGCUUAACUCGGAACGGUCAAGUGAUACUGUCGGACUAGAGUACAGAAGGGGCAACUGGAAUUCUCGGUGUAGCGGUGAAAUGCGUAGAUAUCGAGAGGAACACCUGCGGCGAAGGCGGGUUGCUGGGGCAGUUGGCUGACACUGAGGCGCGACAGCGUGGGGAGCAAACAGG